UACGUAGGUGGCAAGCGUUGUCCGGAUUCACUGGGCGUAAAGCGCGCGCAGGCGGUCUUCUACGUCUGGGGUGAAAACCCGGGGCUCAACCCCGGGACUGCCUUGGAUACGGGGAGACUUGAGGAUCGGAGAGGCAAGGGGAAUUCCACGUGUAGCGGUGAAAUGCGUAGAGAUGUGGAGGAACACCUGUGGCGAAGGCGCCUUGCUGGCCGAUUUCUGACGCUGAGGCGCGAAAGCGUGGGGAGCAAAC
rnacentral:rRNA from 1 species